rfam:Myotis lucifugus cont2.11757, whole genome shotgun sequence.
GGCAGUUCUUGGGUGACUCACCCUGGAAUCAAGCGCCCUCCUCUCUGGUUCUGGGGUGCGUCACCUGAGAACCACA